UACGUAGGUGGCGAGCGUUGUCCGGAUUUACUGGGCGUAAAGAGCGCGCAGGCGGUCGAUUUAGUCGUGUGUGAAAGCCCCCGGCUCAACUGGGGAGGGUCACGCGAUACUGAUCGACUCGAAGGCAGGAGAGGGUAGUGGAAUUCCCGGUGUAGUGGUGAAAUGCGUAGAUAUCGGGAGGAACACCAGUGGCGAAGGCGACUACCUGGCCCGACAUUGACGCUCAUGCACGAGAGCGUGGGGAGCAAACAGG
rnacentral:rRNA from 1 species